rnacentral:rRNA from 1 species
AGGACAUUACCUAGAGUUGUAGGCUUUGCCUGCUAUCUCUUACCCAUGUCUUUUGAGUACCUUCGUUUCCUCGGUGGGUUCGCCCGCCGAUUGGACAAAACUUAAACCCUUUGUAGUUGCAAUCAGCGUCUGAAAAAACUUAAUAGUUACAACUUUCAACAACGGAUCUCUUGGUUCUGGCAUCGAUGAAGAACGCAGCGAAAUGCGAUAAGUAGUGUGAAUUGCAGAAUUCAGUGAAUCAUCGAAUCUUUGAACGCACAUUGCGCCCCUUGGUAUUCCAUGGGGCAUGCCUGUUCGAGCGUCAUUUGUACCUUCAAGCUCUGCUUGGUGUUGGGUGUUUGUCUCGCCUUUGCGUGUAGACUCGCCUCAAAACAAUUGGCAGCCGGCGUAUUGAUUUCGGAGCGCAGUACAUCUCGCGCUUUGCACUCAUAACGACGACGUCCAAAAAGUACAUUUUUACACUCUUGACCUCGGAUCAGGUAGGGAUACCCGCUGAACUUAAGCAUAUCAAUAAGCGGAGGAA